ACGUACUAUAUUCUUUCAGUUACAUUAUCAUUGAGUGCCGCAAACGACAUCUCUGGGGGGCUUCUAGAACUUAUCCUCCACUGCUCUGAGCCCUGGUCUCAAGAACUUGAGGGGCUCUGCCCAGAAGCCUGCAGGCGGUGGCCACAGUACUGCUAUUACGCGGUCGCUGCGGAAAAUGGCGUUCCAGGCACCUGCAAGCUUCCACCUUACCCUCGCAUCGGUAGCUACAGCAUCGUGGACAUCGAGCCCCGCGCUGACUUAGCCGACUUUAGCCUCCUCUACUCUUGCCCGACGGGCUACAGUCUCAGCGGGCAGCAUCCGCGCUGCGUGGGCGGUAGAUGGACUUCUGAUGACUUCCCGAGCUGCAAGC